rnacentral:rRNA from 1 species
CGGAUUGGAGUCUGCAACCCGACUCCAUGAAGCUGGAUUCGCUAGUAAUCGCGCAUCAGCCACGGCGCGGUGAAUACGUUCCCGGGCCUUGUAUACACCGCCCGUCAAGCCAUGGAAGCCGGGAGUGCCUGAAGUGCGUGACCGCAAGGAGCGUCCUAAGGCAAUACCGGUGACUGGGGCUAAGUCGUAACAAGGUAUC